AAUCUGUGGAGGCUCCAGGGGGCCCAGGGUCCGGCAGGGAUGUGCCAUUCCUUGAUCAAUAAUAUCAUAAAUAAUCCAUUCCAACAUUGUUACCUCGAAGACAACGGCCGGCGGAAUGCAUGAGGGAAAGAAAAAAUGGAAAGGCAAAAUGGUGAAUUCCGACAUCUUUUCUUUCUCGUUAUUGAUAGGUUGAAUAACUACUCAACUUGAUGACGAUCAUAUCAUAUUCGAAUAUACAAACCUACAAUGCUUCUUGCCAGUAAGACAUUCAUUCAUCCGAGAGAGGGGGGG
rnacentral:sRNA from 2 species